GACGAACGCUGGCGGCGUGCCUAAUACAUGCAAGUUGAGCGCUGAAGGUUGGUACUUGUACCGACUGGAUGAGCAGCGAACGGGUGAGUAACGCGUGGGGAAUCUGCCUUUGAGCGGGGGACAACAUUUGGAAACGAAUGCUUAUACCGCAUAAAAACUUUAAACACAAGUUUUAAGUUUGAAAGAUGCAAUUGCAUCACUCAAAGAUGAUCCCGCGUUGUAUUAGCUAGUUGGUGAGGUAAAGGCUCACCAAGGCGAUGAUACAUAGCCGACCUGAGAGGGUGAUCGGCCACAUUGGGACUGAGACACGGCCCAAACUCCUACGGGAGGCAGCAGUAGGGAAUCUUCGGCAAUGGACGAAAGUCUGACCGAGCAACGCCGCGUGAGUGAAGAAGGUUUUCGGAUCGUAAAACUCUGUUGGUAGAGAAGAACGUUGGUGAGAGUGGAAAGCUCAUCAAGUGACGGUAACUACCCAGAAAGGGACGGCUAACUACGUG
rnacentral:rRNA from 1 species